UUUUUUUAAAUCUUCAUGGGGAAAACCAUCAUGCUGUACCUCAGAUACUAUAGAAAAUGUCAAGGCCAAGAUCCAGGGUAAGGAAAGAAUUCCUCCUGAGCCGCAAAGACUGACCUUUGCUGGUUAGCAACUGGAAGAUGGACAUACUUUGUCAGGCUACAACAUUCAAAAGGAGUCCACCUUCAUUUAGUGUUAAGACUUUGCGAUGGUGCUAAGGAAAGGAAGACAUCUUAUCCCACUCCCAAGAAGAAUAAGCAUAGGAGAAAGGUUAAACUGGCUGUCCUGAAAUACUCUAAGGCAGACAAGUUGUUAAAAGCCUUGAAAGCACACCUCAAAUUGGAAGCAAGAAAAGGAAGUAAGAAUCAGGAUGAAAAUCAAACUGCUACAUUCUCCUGUGGUGAGACUGAGAUACAGAUUAACAGUCAGGACCAAGCCAAAAAGGAAACAGUUGGCCAUGUCACCAAAAGGAGGAGAAGGCACAAGAGAGCCCGUGGGAACCUGGACUCUCAGCCAGAUCAUUCCGAGAACUAGAAAAUAAGUGAUCCUACUGCAUUCC